CACUAGGUGACUGAAAGCAAGUAAUGGUCUCUUAAACCAAUUUAUAGUAAAGUUAGCAAUUACUUCUAGUGA
rnacentral:tRNA from 1 species